CUACUAGUACUAGUAGUAGUAGUAAGAGUAAGAGAGAGAGAGUUCGAGAGUAGGUUACUACUAAUAGGGCCUACUAGGUACGUCAACAACAGCUGAACCGAACCGUGCACACUCCCCUGUAAAACUCUGCCGUGCGGCAGAUUUCCUGGGCGGACAUGGCACCCGCCCCGGUUGGUGGUGAGGAGGAGAACCGGCCACCCGUGGAUGAGCACCCGAAUCGCGAGGCGAAGCCCCAGGAGGUGGCUGCUCCCCGAGCAUCCACGAGUGUGGAUUGGCGCACCAUCAUCUGGGGUAACCCGGUGGCUGCGACCGAGGCAGUCAGGAGGGGUAACCCGGUGGCUGCGACCGAGGCAGUCAGGAGGGGUAACCCGGUGGCUGCUCCCCGAGCAUCCACGAGUGUGGAUUGGUGCGCCGUCAUUGUGGCUGCGACCGAGGCAGCCAGGAGG
rnacentral:misc_RNA from 1 species